AUUGAACGCUGGCGGCAGGCCUAACACAUGCAAGUCGAACGAGUGGCGGACGGGUGAGUAAUGUCUGGGAAACUGCCCGAUGGAGGGGGAUAACUACUGGAAACGGUAGCUAAUACCGCAUACCAUCGGAUGUGCCCAGAUGGGAUUAGCUAGUAGGGGGGGUAACGGCUCACCUAGGGGCCGAUCCCUAGCUGGUCUGAGAGGAUGACCGGCCACACGGGAACUGAGACCCGGUCCAGACUCCUCCGGGAGGCAGCAGUGGGGAAUAUUGCACAAUGAGCGCAGGCCUGAUGCAGCCAUGCCGCGUGGAUGAGGAAGGCCUUCGGGUUGUAAAGUACUUUCAGCGAGGAGGCGUUACUCGCAGAAGAAGCAACGGCUAACUCCGUGCCAGCAGCCGCGGUAAUUC
rnacentral:rRNA from 1 species